UGUUUCAUUUCUGUAAAAAAAGGGACAUUUUCAAAAUGUUCCAGUUGAGUGUGUAAUGAAAUGAAAAUAUCAUGUGUAAAGCAGAGGUGAUUUUCAGGCAUGUUUUCACUCUGCAGAUAUAAUAACAGUCAACAGACUCUUCUAUUGGCUCCAGUCAGACCAACAUUGAUGCUUCAUAUGUUUGAUUCUAUGCAAACUCAGUGAGCUUCCUUGUUACUCAGCUAUAAAAACUUCCCAUCAGGCUGUCAGUGGAGUUCACAGCACGUCAGUUUCAACAUCAACCAUGUUUUCUGUAGCUCUGCUGCUGCUGUUGGCAGCUGGAUGUGUGAAGUGUGAACAGUUGACACAGCCAGCCUCUGUGACUGUGCAGCCAGGUCAACGUCUGACCAUCACCUGUCAGGUCUCUUAUUCUCUUGGCUACUACACAGCUUGGAUCAGACAGCCUGCAGGGAAAGGACUGGAGUGGAUUGGGAUGAGAUUUACUGGAGGCUCACACUACAAAGAUUCCCUGAAGAACAAGUUCAGUAUCAACUCAGACUCUUCCAGCAACACAGUGACUCUAAAUGGACAGAAUGUGCAGUCUAAAGACACUGCUGUGUAUUACUGUGCC